GACGAACGCUGGCGGCGUGCUUAACACAUGCAAGUCGAACGAUGAAGCCGGAGCUUGCUCUGGUGAAUUAGUGGCGAACGGGUGAGUAACACGUGAGUAACCUGCCCUUGACUCUGGGAUAACUGCUAGAAAUGGUAGCUAAUACCGGAUACGACCCUCGGAGGCAUCUCCUGGGGGUGGAAAGAAUUUCGGUCAAGGAUGGACUCGCGGCCUAUCAGCUAGUUGGUGAGGUAAAGGCUCACCAAGGCGACGACGGGUAGCCGGCCUGAGUGGGUGACCGGCCACACUGGGACUGAGACACGGCCCAGACUCCUACGGGAGGCAGCAGUGGGGAAUAUUGCACAAUGGGCGCAAGCCUGAUGCAGCAACGCCGCGUGAGGGAUGACGGCCUUCGGGUUGUAAACCUCUUUUAGCAGGGAAGAAGCGAAAGUGACGGUACCUGCAGAAAAAGCACCGGCUAACUACGUGCCAGCCGCCGCGGUAA
rnacentral:rRNA from 1 species